GAGGGUACAGCUCAAGUGGUAGAGCACAUGCUUAGCAUGCAGGAGGUCCUGGGUUCAAUCCCCAGUACCUCCU
rnacentral:tRNA from 1 species